CGAAGUAAUUAAUAGACUAUCUAUCGGCAACACGUACCCUACAGUUGGUCCAUCAUUUUUGCUCCCUCAAUUCCUAAGAACCUCCCGUGUAAACCAGUUGGAUUGCUCAAUUUUCCUCUUGUCUUCUUUGUCAAUAUUUUUGUAAAUCGAUGUCAAUGACCAGCCAGCAUAAUGGCUCUUAAACCACUAUAGACAGGGUACGAAAACUACGGUUUUCGUCUACGUCAAUUCACGGCUGUUGCUGACAAAAAACCCGAGUCUACUCGUGUCGAAUGGAGCACUAUGUAAACUAAUUUUGCUAUACUGUCCGCGCUGAAGCUCCCGCGGGUUACUGUAACGAUAAGAAAAUGCGACAUCAUCGACCCUGAGGCCACGGCCGAAUGGCGGAAAAAGGCGGAGGACGUGGAAAGCAACGAAGAGGAGAGCGGAGAAGAGUGCAGCAGGGAGGACGACGAAGAAGACGAAGACGAACAAAAGGAAAACGCGAAUUGGGUCCAGGACGUCAUCGGGGCCACGCCCGAAGAGUUCUUGCAACAGGAAAACCCCCAAAGCACAAGUCUAGUCUCAGUCAUGUUCAGGUGCCCCAAGUGCAACAUUAGGUCCAAGAGCUAUCAGAAUUUGCAUCCCAAAAACCGCUUCGGUCGCAACGUCAAACCCAAAUUCGUCUGCGUUCGAUGCAAACAGGCCAGUAAAAUGCCGGAUCGUGACGGUAGAAAUUCCUUCGAAGACAGCGAGUAUGUCUUCUAUAAAUGAUGAAGUUGACGUUCGUCAUCCUAUCCGACCCCCUUCCGGGUAGAAUAUCCCGAGUGCCAUGUUACCGGACAUUUCAAAAAAAUGUCAAUUUUUUCACUAAAAUGUUUGCAUUUAUUUUCAUGAAAAUGUCAGGCUUUAAUCUUGAUCACAAAAUGAAUAUCAUGCAAAAUUGUCAAGUAAUUAUAUUUAUUUAUGAGUUUCUCGGAAAAAUUGGGGAAGCUCGACAUCCUCAUGCCGAAGCACAACUGGCGCUUGAGAUAUUUUGCACGAAGGAUAUUUUCAGAUUUGAGGCUCGAGUGGCUGUGCCAGAACAACUUAUUUAUUUUGUUUCGGUUGAAAGAUAAUCCAUCCCGGUUUGCCUAGAAUUAUGAUACUCCAAAGUUUAGAAUUGGUAGCCGUACAUGCGAACAAACAAGUAAUCUAACAUACAACACCCUCUUUUAUCCGAAAAAUCUGGAAGAUCUGGCUGGAAAAAAGUCGCUUGGAUCUUGAGUCCAGACGCUUAAUAACAUUGACAAGAAAAAAUACUCUUGAUUUAAUCCGAUUUUUCCAUGGAUCGAAGAGCCGAUCCUCUCGAUUUAGGCGGAUUUCCAUUUGAUUCAAGCAAGAAGUCCAAUUGACUCAAGAGUGUUUUUUCUUGUCAAUGUUUUUAAGAGUGAACUCUAGAUCCAAGCGAAAUUUUUUUCCAGUGUAAUCCAGAGAGCAUCUCAAUCCGGAACCUUCUUCGUCCACCCCCCCUUCCCCCCAAAAAAACUGAGCUAUGUGAAUAAUGAGCGAGAUCCGCCCUUACGAACCAGAAUUUAUUCCGCCAAAAGAGGAGAUUCCACUCAUUUCACUUUGGUUGUUUGGGCCAAAUUAAGUUCCAGGGUAAAAUGCAAUCGGGACUUACCAGCGAGAUUUUUAAAAGUGCAGUGACGGAUAUUAAACAGGUAGUACAGAGCCAUGCGACUCAAGCACCAAGUUUUAUGAAUGACCUGUAUGCGUGAAACUACGGGUACAGGGUUUCCUCAAAGUUUAUCAUCAACUUUAAACUGGAUUUAAAACUGCAAUUAUAAACUGGAUUUUAAAGUGCAAUUUUAAACUGGAUAUAAUGAAUGUGACUAAAUUUGUGUGUUGGAAUUUGAAUACUUGUUUGUUUUCGUAAUUUUCAUAGUUCCUUUGAUCUCUGAAGAUAAAUGAAAUUCAAAUAUAGUAGAAAAUAUAUAGUAUUUAUAUCCUAUCUUAUAAAGACAUUAUUUUCAUAGUUGUUUGUUUACUAUUUAAGAUAUAUUUCUAUUAAUAAAAUUUUACGGCACUUAAAGUUAAUCUUUCAGAUUUUUAUUUUUCAUUUGUGUUUUCGCCGAAUAGUUUUUAAUGUGUCAUAAUUCUCUAAAUUCAUAUUCUACACGAGUUAUAUUUUUUUCCUCUCCAUAUUUGCUCAGGUUAUUGCGUAGUAUGAGUUGAACACAUUAAAGAAAUCUUCCCAUUGCUUCAUCGUUCAUUUUCAUGCGGAUUUAAAAUUGUUCAUCAGAAUCAUCCUUACUUUUUCCACCUAAGCUUUAUUACUUUAAAUGUUUUUCAAACAAUCCUCAUUAGUUAUUUUUUGUUCUCCCCCCCAUUUUCAAGUUUGCUUUUUGUUUAUGCUACGUUUAAAUUUUUUUUUUUGAGACAAAGACUCUUUGUUAUUUUCAACUUGGUUUUUUUCAUGUUCCUCAGCUCUAACUAUAAUCACAGGUUUUUUCACUGACCGCCCUGCUUUACACAUAAUUUUGUACUACUUUUUAAAAUAAGGAACAGAAAGAUGUGUUGACAUCCUUUAAUCUUCCACAAUUCCAUUCCUUUCGACACUUUUUCCUUAUUUUGUAUGAUAAAAUAACGCUAAGCGUGCAGUUUGUGGUCGUAUGCGUAUUCUCAGCGUAUUUUAUAAUUAUUUGUUAAGAAAGCACACAAAGGGGCAGGUUAUUUUAGAAGCUAUUCUAGUCCUCUACAAUUUAAGUGCAGUGUUGUAAUUAUUUUUAGUGUAAGUUUAUAUCACCUCCUCACAUAUUUGUUUCCUUUUUUCUUCCGUAAUUUUCUUGAAUGUUGAAAUGUGAUCAAACUUCAAAGCGGCACAUUCCAAUGUUUACUCACAUCACGCCACAUCCUCGUUUUCCCAUCCCAAUUUGAAACAAUAUUUUUCAUCGAGGAUUAUAAAUUACAUUUUUUGAAAACUAUCAUACAAGUAACUUUUCAGUUUUCCCUUUUUCUUUAAACCCACCCUUAUGAUACUUUUUAUGAUAUUUCAACCCUUUUCAUUUCGAAAGUAAGUCCAAUUUUGAUGAGGUCCAUUUUUAAUAUUCCUCGCCACUUUGUGAACCAAAUACGGAAGGAACGGAAAAUUACUUCUUGAUUUUUCAGUCAACAUGUAAACCAAAAUGUAAUCUUCUUGUCAACAGCUCUCCCAAUAUUAUCAAUAUUUGAUCCUGACCAAUGACUUGGCGAUAGUCAGUAAAAAAUUGUCACAGAGAGUAUCUUUCUUAGCACACACGUGUGUGAGUUUUCCUAUAUUCGCGUGUCUCGUAAUAAAAUGCAAGUUAAUCCUUCGAUUCCGAAUUUUGUGGCCAUUUCAGGAAUCCAUGAUUUACGCCAAGUCAACUUCUUAUUCAAUAAGAUUAUUUUUCCAAUAUUUUCCUCACUAUUCACUUAAUGUUAGUUAUUAUCGAAAUAAAUUUUUUCCACAGAAAAAGAGAGAAAAAA